rnacentral:tRNA from 1 species
GCGGGCGUGAUGGAAUGGUAGACAUACCGGACUUAAAAUCCGGAGGGCUUUGCCCGUGCGGGUUCGAGUCCCGCCGCCCGUACCA